AAUAAAAACAUCUUGAAGUCCAACUCAAGAUAGAAAAUUAGUAAGUCCAAGAAACACCACGUGCACGCUCAGUUUCCUCAAUUAAGCGCCAAUAAUUUCCUCCUAAAAUUACUGAUACCCCUACCACACUUCUGAAUUUUGUUCUUGUCGCAAUGAGCCAAUGUGCUGCUUAUAGGGAUCCCAUAUGAAUCAAAAGUUUGAUCGGGAAAGAAGAGUGUCGUGCAUUGUGCCUUAUCUGCGGAUAGUUUGUAUUGUGAUUUGUAUUUGCACUUUUAUGCGGUUGAGAGAACCAAGUAUUUGUAUUUGCACGUAGGCUAAAGACUACUUGUGAUUUCUAUGUAGUAUUAUUUUCAGUUGGUUACUGUAACCUGAAGGCAGAAUCUGCAAGCAAAAUAGCAGUGAGCAAGUCCUGGACUGGAUGAUAUGUGUUUUGUCAUGAUUUGUUUGGCUGUAGCAUCUCUCUCUAGUGUUAAGCGCGUCGUGGAUAUGUCCUUGUAGUAUAUGUUUGCUGUCGCAAAUUUUUUACAGUGAUAGGAGUUCUUGCAGACCAAUUUACAGAAGGAGAGGGAUUACAGUGACAGAGCAUUGGACCUUGUCAAGUGGUUUCAGAGGAGGAUGGAGAUGGCUGCCUUACUACAGUGGAGGGCUUAAUAGACUCAACUGUAUUUGCUAUCCCUUUGUGCACUACACGCAUGUUCAGUAGCUGCCAUUUUCUUGUACUAGCACUGCCAAGAUGGAUGUUCCUAAAGAGUUGUGACUCCCAAGUUCCCUGUAUUCUUCCUUCCUUCCUUCUGUCCAAAAUCACAGCACGUUCACAGCACCUUCAAACCUGCAUGUGAUGGACAUAAUAAAAGGUUCAGAACAAUAUAACCCCACAAUUAAGAAUAGUAUGCAAGAACUUAAACAGUUGUAUGCUCCCAAUUAAGCAUAGAUGCAAUAAUAGUACAAUAAUAAUCAAAUAUGCUUGCACUCAUAAACAGAACGAUUUAUUUAUAAAGAUGUAAGUACAUAUAGGCUGAUGAUAAUUUGAGUUACGAUAUGUUAUGCUAACAAUUUUAUGGGACUACAGGUUUUGAGAUCUUUGCUUUCCCAUGCAACCAGUUUGGUGGGCAGGAACUUGGCAUUGAUAAGGAAAAUGUUCAGAUUGCUUGCAUGCCGAGUAUCUGAUUUCUGACAAGGUUUUUUGGUUUUGUCACUCCUUUGUUAUAUGGAAGAAGACUUCAUGGUAGAAGAUAGCGACAGAGUGCUGCCGGAUAAUGAGAUGUUGAAGCGGCAGAUUGAAUCCAUGACACCGAAGUGCAAUUGCGGCAGAUUAUCUCUAUCUUUUCUUUUCAUUUUUGAGUGAGAACAGAAUGAGGAACUGUGUGAUAG